rnacentral:rRNA from 1 species
CACGCCGCGUGAGUGAUGAAGGUUUUCGGAUCGUAAAGCUCUGUUGUUAGGGAAGAACAAGUGCGAGAGUAACUGCUCGCACCUUGACGGUACCUAACCAGAAAGCCACGGCUAACUACGUGCCAGCAGCCGCGGUAAUACGUAGGUGGCAAGCGUUGUCCGGAAUUAUUGGGCGUAAAGGGCUCGCAGGCGGUUUCUUAAGUCUGAUGUGAAAGCCCCCGGCUCAACCGGGGAGGGUCAUUGGAAACUGGGAAACUUGAGUGCAGAAGAGGAGAGUGGAAUUCCACGUGUAGCGGUGAAAUGCGUAGAGAUGUGGAGGAACACCAGUGGCGAAGGCGACUCUCUGGUCUGUAACUGACGCUGAGGAGCGAAAGCGUGGGGAGCGAACAGGAUUAGAUACCCUGGUAGUCCACGCCGUAAACGAUGAGUGCUAAGUGUUAGGGGGUUUCCGCCCCUUAGUGCUGCAGCUAACGCAUUAAGCACUCCGCCUGGGGAGUACGGUCGCAAGACUGAAACUCAAAGGAAUUGACGGGGGCCCGCACAAGCGGUGGAGCAUGUGGUUUAAUUCGAAGCAACGCGAAGAACCUUACCAGGUCUUGACAUCCUCUGACAACCCUAGAGAUAGGGCUUUCCCUUCGGGGACAGAGUGACAGGUGGUGCAUGGUUGUCGUCAGCUCGUGUCGUGAGAUGUUGGGUUAAGUCCCGCAACGAGCGCAACCCUUGAUCUUAGUUGCCAGCAUUUAGUUGGGCACUCUAAGGUGACUGCCGGUGACAAACCGGAGGAAGGUGGGGAUGACGUCAAAUCAUCAUGCCCCUUAUGACCUGGGCUACACACGUGCUACAAUGGACAGAACAAAGGGCUGCAAGACCGCAAGGUUUAGCCAAUCCCAUAAAUCUGUUCUCAGUUCGGAUCGCAGUCUGCAACUCGACUGCGUGAAGCUGGAAUCGCUAGUAAUCGCGGAUCAGCAUGCCGC